UCAAGGCUGAUAGGUGCAGCAUGU
rnacentral:siRNA from 1 species